rnacentral:rRNA from 1 species
UACGAAGGGGGCUAGCGUUGUUCGGAAUUACUGGGCGUAAAGCGCACGUAGGCGGACAUUUAAGUCAGGGGUGAAAUCCCAGGGCUCAACCCUGGAACUGCCUUUGAUACUGGGUGUCUUGAGUACGAGAGAGGUGAGUGGAAUUCCGAGUGUAGAGGUGAAAUUCGUAGAUAUUCGGAAGAACACCAGUGGCGAAGGCGGCUCACUGGCUCGUAACUGACGCUGAGGUGCGAAAGCGUGGGGAGCAAAC